GUCACUCUCACCUGCUCACAAUUAGUACAUUGGAACGAUACAGAGAAGAUUAGCAUGGCCCCUGAGCAAGGAUGACAUGCAAAUUCUUGAAGCAAGAAAAAAAAAU